GAGAAGAACAAGUUGGAGAGUAACUGCUCCAGCCUUGACGGUAUCUGACCAGAAAAGCCACGGCUAACUACGUGCCAGCAGCCGCGGUAAUACGUAGGUGGCAAGCGUUGUCCGGAUUUUAUUGGGCGUAAAGCGAGCGCAGGCGGUUCCUUAAGUCUGAUGUGAAAGCCCACGGCUCAACCGUGGAAGGUCAUUGGAAACUGGGGGACUUGAGUGCAGAAGAGGAGAGUGGAAUUCCAUGUGUAGCGGUGAAAUGCGUAGAUAUAUGGAGGAACACCAGUGGCGAAGGCGACUCUCUGGUCUGUAACUGACGCUGAGGCUCGAAAGCGUGGGGAGCAAACAGGAUUAGAUACCCUGGUAGUCCACGCCGUAAACGAUGAGUGCUAAGUGUUGGAGGGUUUCCACCCUUCAGUGCUGCAGCUAACGCAUUAAGCACUCCGCCUGGGGAGUACGGCCGCAAGGCUGAAACUCAAAGGAAUUGACGGGGAC
rnacentral:rRNA from 1 species